ensembl:lncRNA
AAAGGAAAAAAAAGGGGACAGUUAAAGCAAAAUGAGUUUCCUUCACCAGUUAUAUAAGGACAAGUAUGUAGGUUGCUCUGAAAGUAAUGCCUCCUCUUUAUUUCCAUGGGAACAACAGCAGCUACAAAAAGUGCAGCAAUGCUAUUUGAUGAAGUAAAUUCUCAGCUACAAAAUGCAUUUUUUUUUUCAGCACAGUCAUCUCCAUUAGCUAUUCGUUUUCACCAGCAAUAAGCAAGAGCCUGCAUGCCAUGCCUGUAAAAAUCUGCAUGGCUGUCUGGAAUGUGUCUUGCCUUUCAAAUCACUGUCUCCACUGCUGAAAUGCACCACCUACCACUCACUGUGCUCACAUCCACUGUCUGGUCCUCAUAAACAUUCAGCAAAAGUUGAUGAAUAUCAAUGGGUGCAAAUUUUUCCACAUGGAGGAAUUCAGCGACACACCUUUGCUUUCUGUGCACUUCCACGUCAGAUGCCAUUGUGUCACACUGCCCCUCCACUGCCAUCUGUUGCAUGGCAACAACAUUGGUGAGAAUGUUCAACUUCUACUGUCACAUCACCAACAUCCACCUCUGAAAUCGUAAGCCAACAUAAUAAAAUAGGAGGCCAUACUUUUGGAACAUCCCUUGUAGAUAGGUGGUUACCAGUAUACUGAGGAAAUUGAUGUACUUGGUAGAAAAUCUGUCUGUUAAGAAAUAGGAAUGAAAAUUCAAUUAACAGACAUUUAACAUGGUUGGAACAGUGAAGUUGCUUUUGCAUUUAUCUGAAGAACAAUUAUAGGGGAAGUUGAUUGAGAAAGCAGUAAAUGCAACAGAGAACAGUUUACCAAAUGGGGGUGGGGAGAGGAAAGGGAGGGAAGAGGUUAAAUAAGAUCAGGGAAGUCACCCGAAUGACACACAGCCAUAGGUGUUAAGCAUACAGAUACUGAAUAAUUCUCUCCUUCUGAUGACUGUUUGAAAAUCAACUGAGGGAAGCUGUGGAAAUACUGAAAUAUGGAAGGUAAGGAAAUAUAAUGCUGCUUUUCUAUAAAUGGAAAGUAGACCAAUUCUAGUAAGACACAAGCUAUAUAUCUGGAUCCCAUUGUUCUCCAAAUGGUGGAGCCCACCGGGAGAUCCCUCCUUUGCCCUCUGUCUUUCUCAAGGAGAAAGGAAGGAGUACCUCUGCCUUUGAAGACCAAGCUUCCAUUCAGUGAUGCAUAAGCUUUGGUGUAAGUGCUUACUUGGAUCUACCCCCUUGAGAAUAAUUUCUGAGUAUCUCAACCCAGGCUCUUGGCAAUGGAAAAGAAACACGCGGAUACACAGGAGGAAGAGAUGAAUGGGAUAUAAAUACUAUUUUGCUUGAUUUUGAACAUCUAAGAUUAGCACAGAAAAUGCAGAUGAUUUGAAAACUCAUGGAGUGAAAAUAUAGUGGUACAGCACAUCACAGUUUCAAGAGUAAAGCUAAAAAUCUGCAGCAAUAUUAAAAAAAAAAAAAAAAGAAAGAGCAAAAAUAAAAAUAACCCAAUUCUUCAGGCAGGAUGCCAUUGAUUUUGUGUUCUGUAUGCUGAAUAAACAGGGGAGAUACAACAGAAAUCAUGAGAUUCAUCUGCUAUUUUUAAUAUACAGCAAUGAAUUUUCAUCCUUAAAGUGCCCCAGUGGGGGGUAGAUAUGAAUGUGGAAUAAAGGGAUGCACAGAUAUUCAGAAUGAUGAACAGCUCAACAAAAACAUGCAAUCUACUGGCAUUAUGAAAAAUAUCAGGAUAUUAUUAAUUGUGGUAAUUUUUUCCUGUUUCAAGAGAGAGCUCUUCUCUAUUGGGAAUGUAAAUAUCCUCACUGCAGCUUUAUUAAAGGGUUUCAUAAACUAAGUUUCAUUAAAGGGAAGAUCUGCAGCAUUUCAUCAUGCCUCUAAUGUCUCGUUUGGACAGAUCUGCUCCUUGAUCUAAGCUUCUGAUACUUUUAUAUACCUGAUUCAGGGAAGCAUUUGUUUAUUCAGAAGUAACCCUUAGUAUUAACUGUAGACAUAAGCGAUUUUCUAAAUGGGAGAGGCCUCAAAGAUGUAUUUAAAUUCUUGCUUGGCUCUGGGGUUGCUUGCAGCCCUUUCUGGUGCUGUGAGACAAAACAACUGUCUCUAUUACUGAGGUGUGAGCUGUGGACUGUCAUAAUUUUAGCUGGAGGUGCCCUUCACACUUAUAUUCUGAAUACCCUUGCAUACCCGGAGCCCAGAGCUAAUGGAACCUAGCCUUUACUAGGUUUGUUUCCUUUUCUUUUCACCUAAGGGUGUAUGAAAAAAAAAAAAAAAAAAAAAAAAAAAGCAUGCAUACAUAUUUUUUGAUUGGCUAUUGAAGAAAAGUAAGUAUGUAUAGGUCUGUCUUGGGAGCAACUACGUGUUGAGGGAAUAGCGCUGUUCUCAGGAGGAGACUUUCAUUCCGUAGUGCUCUGCUCCCAUGGAGUAACAGAACUGACCUCUGCUGAGCCAGAUUUCCCUGCCUUGAAUUCCAAAUUCCCCUUCCUUGAAACCAGUAGCAAAACCCACUGGGUAUAUCAACCAGCAUGCAUGCAAAAUAAUUUAUACCAGGUGAGUAAGAUCAGGUACUUCUACUUAUUGUAGCACUCAUUGAAAGAGCAUUUCUCCUAGUAUCUCAUCAUAUUUUGCUUCUGAUCUUCUUUUUGUAAUUAUUUUGUCCUUUAAUUUUUGUCCCUUGUGCUAUAAAGUGGUUUGUGGGAUAUUUCUUGUGGCUGCUUUUUACUUUUCACAGCAACUCAGUAUGCAAGAAGGUUUAAAAAUAUUCCCUUUAAAAUGAAUUCCAAAUGAAAUUCGUCUUCAGCAAUUUGACUGUUGGAAAUGAGUACAUCGUGUUACAAGAGGAAUUCUUUCUUGUUAGCUGAUUAGAUGGUAAAGCAUUUCACACAGUCAAACUGAGUUGUGAAUCUUCUUCCCAUAUAAGCUCUGCCACUGCUUUUCUGUGAUUGCUUUGGGCAAGUCAUGUUGCUUCUCAAUGCCCUUUUUAACUUUUGAUGUGUUUUGCCUGUAAUGUCUAUUUAGGUUGUAAUUUCUGAGGGCCAUACAUUGUUAGUUUUUUUACCUUAGAGAUGUUACACACAUACAUACCCUUCCGCUUCCUUCAGAAGAGUGAAGAGGAACCAUAAGGCAGACUGCUUAAAAUUGCCUAUCUCAGGCUUCCUUACACUGCUGACAUCAAACUUUCACAGCAGGUUUUAUUCCAAAGGAAGGCAAUCAAUAUUUCUGCUUACCUUGCAUGGAGCAAAUGAAAGAUUUAUCACAAAGAAUCUGCUAAUCUACAUCAAAUAUCCUAUUUUUCAGUUUUACUUCUGUCUGUGAUAUCCCUUUCUUAUGGAAUCACAAAUGUGGAGAAAAAGAAGCUUAAUCUAUCCUUUGGUAUCCUGAUCUGUUGGAACCCCCCUAAAACGUAUGAGGACAGAUUGGAGUGAAAAGGAAGCUGUAUCUUAUUGGUGCUAAACUAGCAUAACAUUCCCGAAUGGUUUUUUUCGCAACUAAAAUGCAGUGGAGGAUGUGGAGUCCAAUCUAGAGGACAAAAUUCACCCCCAUUGGCAAGCUGGUGAAUGCCAAAACUCUCUGCUCUCUUGAGGCACCGCCUGCGUCAGGAGGAGGUAAGGGACGUUGCUGUCAGAUUAGGCUGACAUCUGCUGGGGAGAGCCCCAAGGCAGGGAGGCAGUGGAGGCCCAGGCUACCAGCCCAGCUGAUUGAAGGCCAACCCUGCUCUGAGGCUCAGAGCAGGCUGGGGGAACCCACCUGUGGGGUAUGGGGUCCUCCUGCUGCAGAAGACUGGACCCUGGCAGCCAUGCAGACAAGUUCAGGGAAGGGGGACACCUCUGCUUUUGUCUCUCCUUUUUCUCUAAUUUCCCUUCCACUUGCCAUCUCUUGUUCUCCUUGAAGUGUUUCUCCCUCAGCCACAGGAAACCUCACCCACUCUACCUAUUUUUGCCCACUGGCAUGUGGGCAGGUAUACCUGCCCUGUAUGCCUUAGCUCAGCACUGCAUCAUGGAGCAAGCACUUUUGUUCAGAGCUCUUUUUAAAGGUAAUAAUAAUAAUAAUAAUAAAAAAAAAAGAGAGAGAGAGAGAAAAAAAAAAGAAAAAGAAAAAAAAGAAAGAGAGAAGAAAAGAAACACGCACUCUGAAGCCUGAAUAGCAGUGUUUCUGUCAUCUGUUGUCAUGACACACAGCUGACGUGGGAACACGACAGUAAGGUUGACUGCUAGAUGGGUUUAAUUUUGGUGCAGAAAUUUGCUAGAAGAAGCUUUCAAAAAUAUCUCUGGGUGGGAGGAAAACAGGUGGGUGCUGGUUGUGUGUACGUAGCAGGAGGAAAUAGUUGUCAAUCUUACCCAAGCAUUACUCCACAUCCAUCAGCCCUUUGGUACCCUCUCUACUCAAUGAGGGAAACAAGUGAUGCUGUAUCUCGUUGUUCCUCUCUCCUGCUACUUUUGGAGAAAGUGCUGGUGGAACAGAGUGCAGAGAGAGAACAUAGAAUGAUUGAAUAGCAACAUGGUUGGCUUGGUCAAAGUACACAUUGUUUGCUCUAUCUUGGUAAAGACAUCCGUACUCAGCACAGGAAGACAAUGUCAGUAUCAUCCAUUGAAGCCAAAUAAUGGUGAGAUCCUUUCAGGAGAGACUUGUGGGCAACUGAGUCUGAAAUGACAGCUAAUGUUGGAGAAUGGCCCUCAUGGUGAGUAGUGAAUGAUCUGUAGGAAAACCGAGAUGUAGUUUCUGUGGUUGUGGUUGUCCAUCUGGGUGAGUGAGUGGACUCAGUAUCAUGGGUGGACUUCUCAGCACUGUGUUUUCAUUUCCCAUACACAUCUUUGUUUCAAAAAGGUCUCAUUUUUCCCCUUCAGUAUCUGUAGGCAAUUCAUACUGGCUUCUAGAUGUUCCUAAGCAGUCACAGACUUUGCUGGCUACCAAAGAACGUAGGUGUCCAGAAAUAUUCUCUAAAAAUCACUCUGCUAACCCAUUUGAAGCUCAUUUUCCUCUUCUACAAACUACUCUAUAUUAGCACAUUUCUCAUCUCUUAGUCUUUGUCAUCUUGACUAAUGACUUUACUCAUCUGUACUAGUUUACUCACUCGUUUCAAUACUUUGCUAGAUCACAGGAACAUUUUGUGACUUAAUUAAAUUAUCAGUUAGAGCUCAGAGGUCUUUGAAUGAAAACUGUUAUGUUCUGUAACAGCAGAAUACUAUGAUUACAGUUCUGGAAAACAUACUACAGUGUAGAGACUUCAUUUCUCUUUCAUAUUUGCUGUUUGGACAUUGGCAGAAGUGAUGGUGGUGAGACUGGAGCUGAAGACUCCAACCUCAACUCUGAGCAAAAAGCUUGGAAAAAAAACCAUUGUUUGAGACAGAGAAGAUUGAAAGAAAACCAUUGCAAAUCAUUUGUAUGAACUGAUAAAAGCAGGGAAGGAAGAGAAAGAGCUUUGGAGAGGAGACGUGGAGGAAGAGGACACAAGUCUGUACUCUCCUCUCCUCUGCCUGCUCCAGACUGAAGGUAAAAUGACUGCAUGUCUGAAGACAGCAGAUGUCUCAGAGAUGUAAAUGUUCAGCACUCCUGAAUCAAAGCCACAGCAUAACUGAAUACACUACUGUAUAAAGAAAAUAUUGACUGUCUUUGUAUUUGUUUGCUUUCUGUGUAGGGGUAGAAAAUACUAGUAAUGUUUAAACACCUCUUUAGAGUCAUUACAAGAUAUUGUGCAAAUAUAGUAAAUUUUCCCCAGUAAGCAGGCAUGAAAUAUACAUUUGCUUAUCAGAACGAAACAGUUCCAGGGGAGGCCUUGAUGUCUG